rnacentral:rRNA from 1 species
UACGUAUGGUGCAAGCGUUAUCCGGAUUUACUGGGUGUAAAGGGAGCGCAGGCGGCACGGCAAGCCUGAUGUGAAAGCCCGCGGCCCAACCGCGGGACUGCAUUGGGAACUACCGGGCUGGAGUGCCGGAGAGGUAGGCGGAAUUCCUAGUGUAGCGGUGAAAUGCGUAGAUAUUAGGAGGAACACCAGUGGCGAGGGCGGCCUACUGGACGGUGACUGACGCUGAGGCUCGAAAGCGUGGGUAGCAAACAGG